AGAGUUUGAUUCUGGCUCAGAACGAACGCUGGCAGCGUGGAUUAGGCAUGCAAGUCGAACGGGAAACCGCGGAUUCAAUCUUCGGAAAGAAUUCGUGGUGGAUAGUGGCGGAAGGGUGAGUAACGCGUGGGCAAUCUGCCCUUAAGUUGGGGAUAACUCCGCGAAAGCGGGGCUAAUACCGAAUGGGGUCCUCCGGCGCAUGUCGGGGUGACUAAAGGUGGGGAUCCUUCGGGACCUGCCGCUUAGGGAGGAGCCCGCGUCCCAUCAGCUUGUUGGUGAGGUAAUGGCUCACCAAGGCAUACGGGUAGCUGGUCUGAGAGGAUGGUCAGCCACACUGGGACUGAGACACUGCCCAGACUCCUACGGGAGGCUGCAGUCGAGGAUCAUUCGCAAUGCGCGAAAGCGUGACGAUGCGACGCUGCGUGGAGGAUGAAGGCCUUCGGGUUGUAAACUCCUGUCAUGAGGGAAAAGACGCCCUAUCUCUAAUAUAGGUGGGGCCCGAUGGUACCUCAAGAGGAAGCCACGGCUAACUCUGUGCCAGCAGCCGCGGUAAUACAGAGGUGGCGAGCGUUGUUCGGAUUUACUGGGCGUAAAGGGUGCGUAGGUGGCUUCGUGUGUCGGAUGUGAAAGCCUACAGCUCAACUGUGGAAUUGCAUUCGAAACUGCGGAGCUAGAGUACAGGAGAGGAGAGCGGAAUUCUUGGUGUAGCGGUGAAAUGCGUUGAUAUCAAGAAGAACACCGGUGGCGAAGGCGGCUCUCUGGAAUGUUACUGACACUGAGGCACGAAAGCUGGGGGAGCAAACAGGAUUAGAUACCCUGGUAGUCCCAGCUGUAAACGGUGUGCACUUGGUGUGGGCGGAAUUGACCCCGCCCGUGCCGGAGCUAACGCGUUAAGUGCACCGCCUGGGGAGUACGGCCGCAAGGCUAAAACUCAAAGAAAUUGACGGGGGCCCGCACAAGCGGAGGAGCAUGUGGCUUAAUUCGAUGCAACGCGAAGAACCUUACCAGGGCUUGACAUGUAGCUGCACGCCCCGUGAAAGCGGGGAAGCCUUCGAGGGUGCUACACAGGUGCUGCAUGGCUGUCGUCAGUUCGUGCCGUGAGGUGUUUGGUUAAGUCCAGCAACGUACGCAACCCCUGUGUUUAGUUGCCACCGCAGGUGAUGAGCCUGCGAGCACUCUAAACAGACUGCCUAUGCAAGUAGGAGGAAGGUGGGGAUGACGUCAAGUCAGUAUGGCCCUUACGCCCUGGGCUGCACACGUGCUACAAUGGCCGGUACAGAGGGCUGCAAAACCGCGAGGUUGAGCUAAUCCCCAAAAUCGGCCUCAGUUCGGAUUGGAGUCUGCAACUCGACUCCAUGAAGUUGGAUUCGCUAGUAACGGCGCAUCAGCUACGGCGCCGUGAAUACGUUCUCGGGCCUUGUACACACCGCCCGUCACAUCACGAAAGCCGUCUACACCCGAAGUCACUGAGCCAACCCGUCAAGGGAGGCAGGUGCCGAAGGUGUGGGUGGUGAUUGGGAUGAAGUCGAAACAAGGUA
rnacentral:rRNA from 1 species